rnacentral:rRNA from 1 species
GUACACGGUGGAUGCCCUGGCAGUCAGAGGCGAUGAAGGGCGUGCUAAUCUGCGAUAAGCGCCGGUAAGGUGAUAUGAACCGUUAUAACCGGCGAUACCCGAAUGGGGAAACCCAGUGUGAUUCGUCACACUAUCAUUAACUGAAUCCAUAGGUUAAUGAGGCGAACCGGGGGAACUGAAACAUCUAAGUACCCCGAGGAAAAGAAAUCAACCGAGAUUCCCCCAGUAGCGGCGAGCGAACGGGGAGGAGCCCAGAGCCUGAAUCAGCAUGUGUGUUAGUGGAAGCGUCUGGAAAGGCGCGCGAUACAGGGUGACAGCCCCGUACACAAAAGCGCAUGUGCUGUGAGCUCGAUGAGUAGGGCGGGACACGUGGUAUCCUGUCUGAAUAUGGGGGGACCAUCCUCCAAGGCUAAAUACUCCUGACUGACCGAUAGUGAACCAGUACCGUGAGGGAAAGGCGAAAAGAACCCCGGCGAGGGGAGUGAAAAAGAACCUGAAACCGU